rnacentral:rRNA from 1 species
UACAGAGGUCCCGAGCGUUGUUCGGAUUCACUGGGCGUAAAGGGUGCGUAGGUGGUGAGGUAAGUCGGAUGUGAAAGCUCCAAGCUCAACUUGGAAAUGGCAUUGGAAACUACCUUGCUAGAGGGUUUGAGGGGGGACUGGAAUACUUGGUGUAGCAGUGAAAUGCGUAGAUAUCAAGUGGAGCACCAGUGGCGAAGGCGAGUCUCUGGACAUUUCCUGACGCUGAGGCACGAAAGCCAGGGGAGCAAACGGG